CUGUGUGGAAGCUGGGAUUCCAAUGGCAGGCAGGAAAUCUUGUAGUAGGUGAUCGUGGCCUUCCUUGGGAUCCCUGUUUCCCCCUUUUAUUCCCUUUUCACCCAGUAAAACCCUGCUUUGCUCACUCUUUAAAGCAUCUGUGAGCGUAAAUUUUUGUGGCCAUGGGAUGGACAAGAACCACAUGUUUACCUGAAGUCCUGUGACAUUUUGGUGUGCAGCAUGGGAGCUCCAAAAGUGACAUUCUUUCAGAUGCCAGAGGAUGCUAUAGAAAAAUGCGUGCCCUCUUGUAAUACUUUGUUCAAGUUCUGAUCAGAAGGAUGAAUGAUGGAGCCCAAGAAGCCAGAGUCUCAUUGUGUUGCUCAGGCUGGAAUCCAGUGGCAUGAUCUCGGCUCAGUGCAACCUCCGCCUCCUGGGUUCAAGCAGUUCUCCUAGAUCAGCAUCAGCGUCCCGAGUAGCUGGGAUUACAGGCACCCGCCACCAUGCCUGGCUAAUGUUGGUCAGGCUGGCUCGAACUCCUGACCUCAAGAGAUCCACCUGCUUUGGCCUCCCAAAGUGCUCGGAUUACAGGCAUGAGCUGCCACACCCAGCCUCCAAAUACUUUUUUUUUAAAUCAAAAUAAUGAUUUCAAUGACUGAGAUCUGUUAUGUAUUUCAACAUAAUCAUGUUUCAUAAAGAUUUAGUCUUCUGAAAGCCAGUGUGAAUUGUUUUUUUUUCUACAAGUUUAAUCAAAACCAAACAAAAUCAACAAACCUCUACCCCCAAAUGUGGUACUGUUUCCUAAAAGAAUGCAUUUCCUUUUUACUUCCAUCACCAUACAUUGGUUAAUGACUUCUGCACUUAAAAUUCCUAACACACCUCACAUAGCUCUUUUGUGCAGUAACACUUUUCUUCUCUCCAAAUAUGUGGUUCAAUGGAAGUUACAUUUUUUAAAAUUAUAUUUUCCUCCUCACAACUUAUUGGUUCUAAGAUUUAUACCCUUUCCAAUGUGUAUAAGACUACUGUGAUUUUGGGACAUGGGACCAAGUGUAGCAUGUCUGAUCCUAUCUUUGAUGGCAAAUACUUCUGCUGUGAGAUAUGGGAGCUGCUGAGUGAAAAUCUUUUACUGAUAAUAAAGCCAGUUGUCAGAGGGAAGCAAAAGUAAGAGAAGAAGAGACUUGAGGUGACUUUAAUGAAAACUCCUACCUGCCAAAACUAGGCAAAAAUAUGACAUACAUAAAUAUAAAUUUCCACAAGGAAAUUUCUUUCCCACCUUUCUAUAUCUUUCUUACUCUUUAUCAUCACAUUUACUAAUAGAGAUAUUUAAUGUUCUUGAUACUCAAAGUGCAUUUGAUAUACUAUUUCUUACUCAUCUCUUCCCUACCCCUGUUUCAUAUGGGGAGCUCCAGGCAACCUAGUGGGAUGGGAAUUGGGGACUGAGAGCGAAGAAGUGUAGCAAUAGCAUUAGCACAGUAUUGGGGAAAGAGAGAGGAAACUGACAACAUUCCUUCUUCUCACUAUUGUUGUAGCUUGAGGAAGGCCUUUGCUUGGGGAGGUGAAAAUGAAGGCUCAACUACAAAAUGCAAUUUAAUUAACAAGAUGGGAAUUUUCCUCAGAUAAGAGUGACUGUUAGACUUAUUGUGCCAGAAUAAUGGCAUAAUAAUAAUGUUAUGAAGACUAUCUAAGAUUUCUCCCAGAGAAAAGAGGAAGAACAUAUCAUGGUGGAUUUCCAGGCCACAGUGAAAAAGAAUAGUUUUUUUGAAUAGUUGCGUCCUAAUGAGUUAUGUUCGUUCAAUGUAGCAGUUAGAGUGGUAUAAUAUGGGCAUGAACACACUACAGUUGUUGGCCCCAAAGAUUAAUAACAAUGGGCAUAAAACAUGGAAUAAGAUACAUAAAUACUUAUUUAUAUUGUCUCAAUUUAUGACAAUAGGAAUACUGUAAAAACUGAUACAAAGCAAGUAAUUCAAAUAAUGAUAAUUAUAACUUUAAAUCAAGAAACAGAACAAAUUGCUUAAAUUACAUGCCAGAAAAGAUGGCUAAAAAGGUUUCAGUGUCAAUAAUUAUAACAGGAAAUCUUCCUUUAAAUCAUUUUUACAAGAACAAUAAUUUUAAGCAUCUCAAACACAUGCACAUUUACAUUACCACAUACGUGCACCCUCUCAUUCUUUGGGCCAUCAUAAGUAGUAUAAUAUUAUGAUGCUUUCAUUUAUUUGUUGCACAUACACUCAACUCCUUCUAUAUUUAUGGCCUGUUGCUGGGAUCUAGGGAAAAAUGCUAUACAAAUAUGCAAUGAACUCACUCUCCAGGGGUAUAUUUCCUACUUUGGAGACAGUUAACUAACAAGGCAGACAUGAUGCAGUUUGGCUGUAUCCUCUAAGAGGUGAAGUUUUAGGACCGCAAGUAGACAGAAGGGGUUGAGGAAUGAGGAAGCAGAGCUUCUAGAUAAGGGUUUCUGCUAAAAAAAAAAAAAAAAUGUGCCGCAGAAACAGAUGGAGGUUAGGUAGGAGUACACUAAAAAAUAAAAACAAAAGAAGAACAAAGGAAUGGAACCCAUGUUUUAAGAAGCCUAGAAAGCAGGAAUAGUAUGAGUACGUUGAAGGGGAAGGAGAAAAUAGACGAGAGGCAAGCAGAGGCCAAAUCACAGCUGAUCUGGUAAUGCAUGUAAAGGAGUUUAGACUUUAAGAGUAAUAUCAUCAAGAAUAGUUUCAAGCUAUGGAACUCAAGUGGAAAUGACACUAAAAUAUUUGCUUUAUAGAAAGAUCUUUUUGAAUUUUUGAUUCCUAAAAAUAUGAUGGAAAUUCCUAUGGAUUGAAAUAACAGAUAUGCUGAAACCAAAACAAACUGCUGUGUUCUAAAUGUGUCCUCCAAACUUCGUAUGUUGUAACUUCAUUGCAUUGUGAUAGUAUUAAAGGUAGUGCCUUUAGGAGGUGAUUAAGUCAGAAGGGCAGAGUCCUCAUGAAUGAAAUUAGAGACCUCAUAAAAGAGGCUGAAGGAAGUCUCUUUUGCCCUUCUGACCAUUCAGCCAUGUGAGGACAAGUAUUUGUCCACUUAGGAGGGUACAGCAACAAAGUGUCAUUAUUGAAAGCGAGAACGGCCUGCACCACACACGAAACUUGCCAGUGCAUUGAUCUUGGACUUCCCAGCCUCAUGAACUGUGAGAAAUACAUUUCGAUUAUUUAUAAAGUAACCAGGCUAUGGUAUUUUGUUGUAGCAGCACAGAUGGACAAAGACACAAACAUAUACAAGUUUUUAAAGCAUCACUGGGAUGAUAAGAAAUUCACCAAUGCCAAAAAAAAUAUUUUAAUUAAAAAAAGAUGAAAAGAACCUUUUUAGCUUUGAUAUGGUUUGGAUAUUUGUCCCUGCCCAAUUCUCAUACCGAAGUGUAAUCCCCAACAUUGGAGGUGGGACCUGGUAGGAGGUGUUUGGAUUAUGGGAGCCGAUCCCUCAUGAAUGGCUCUGAACAUCCCCUUGGUUAUAAGGGAGCUCUCAUUUUGAGUUCACAUGAGAUCUGGUCAUUUAAAUAUGUGUGGCAUCUCCCCCCAUUCUGUCUCUCUCUUGCUCCUGUCUGGCCUUGUGAACUUGCUGGCUCCUCCUUCACCUUCCACUAUGAUUGUAGGCUUCCUUUGGCCUCCCCAGAAGCCAAGAAGAUCCCAGCACCAUGUUUCCUGUAAAGCCUGCAGAACCGUGAGCCAAUUAAACCUCUUUUCUUUAUGUAAUACACAGUCUCAGAUAUUUCUUUAUAGCAAUGCAAGAACAACCUAAUGCAAGCCCCAACAAUUUCUGUGGAAAAAUGGAAGUUCAACUCUUCCUCUUUGCAGACUGCAUACAAUAUAGCAUAUGACACACUGUGGGGAAGCAUCAAAUAAGAGACUUCUUCAUAAGAUUAGUCCUCAAAAACAGUGAUUAAAUAUAUAUUAAGCCCCUACUCCUCAGAAGUGACAGCAAAGAAAUUUGGCUUUCUCAUUUUUGGCAUUGGGUACAAGGAACAAAAUGAUGUGAUGAUAGAUAAGCAUUAGCUAGUUAUUACAGAAGAUUGCAUUCUGAAUAUGUGACUAUCUUUAAAAAGUACAAUCUGCCACAUGUAACAGAGUUAACUGGAACACUGCUUAUGUGUUAAGAAAAGUUUUAAGGUGAGAAAUUAAGUUCAGGUGGUCUCAGGUAAUCAAAUGCAAGUUCUCUCCUGAAAAACAUUACAAAACUUGGAUUAUAGGCUACAGGUAAAUUAUAUUGUGAUUUUUUUCAGUAUUUCUCAUUUCAUUUUAUAUUAUACCCUUCUAUUUUGUAUCUUAUUAGCCCUUGGAUUUAUGAAUGUGUCUGAUGAUUCAAUGUGAUGAUUUGUUAAGAUAAGGUAUGAAAUGGAAGAGGAGUAUGUUAGGCUGGUACCGAUGGAUAAUUCUGAUAAGGUUAGUGAUGAAGGCUUACAUUCUGCCGAGCCAUGUAGUGGUGUGGAAAGGGACACAUAAAAUCUCCUUUUCCAACAAAAUCUCUCAGUGAAUUUUACUUGAGCUGAUAGUCCAACCUGGCAUAUGUCUUUCUGUCUUCUCUGACAAACUCAAAAUGCAACAUUAUUUCCAGGAAAAUUAAAGACACUAAUUUCAAAUCACAGUCAUUGGAUAAAUGAUGGUACUGAUUGUUCUAUACAACUAUUAGAAUCUACAAUAUAAUGUUUGUUGAAAAGUACAUCCUGUGAAAAGGAUAUAAGUUAUGUAUCAGCAGAAAAUAUUGUCCAGAAAAGUCACACAAAUGGUCAAAACCUAAUAAUGCCAGCAUGUAAAAAUACACUGAGAUAAUUGCUGAGAAAAGAUGCUGAAGAAAAAUUUGAAAAGAUUCUACUUUUAAGGAGUAUCAUCAAGGCAUUGAUGAUAUGUUACAAUAUAUUGAAGAGGUUUUGUGUAAUAAACUGAAAAACCAGAACCCUAAUAUCCAAGUUGAUGAAUAGAUUUCACCAAUAAAUGGCAUUCUGUAGUAUUUGUAAUAUUUGUAAAUGAUAAUAAAAUUCACAGUAACAUUCCCUGUGCAAAGAGUGGUCUGAAACAAGCAAAGGACUAGAUAUAUUUAAUGUAUUAUCUUUAUAUCUGAAACAGAAGUUCUAUCUUCGAUGGGUUGUAUUAGCAUUUGCACUAGGUACUCCAUCAAUAGUUGGCUCCUUGAAGAUUUUACCUCUUGUAUUAAGCCAAAGUCCAAAUACUGUCAUCAAACAAUACUUUGUUCACAAACUGGUGCUAGUGUAAAGAAAGUCAUGGAAAGGAAAGAAUAAAAGUUCAGAAAUACCACAAAAAAUGGUCAAUUUUAUUAAACCCAAACCAGCUUGCUUAAGAAUCUUUUAAAAAAUGUAUAAAAACCUGGGCAAACAUCACACACACACACACAGACACACACACACACCUCCUGCUGCAAAAAGGAAUUCAGUGGCUUAAUGGAGGGAGAAAGUUCCCGAUAGGAUGUUUCAGCCGAACAAGAAUUAGAGAAGCACUGUCAAAAAAAAAUGUAGGCCGAAUUUUGCUGAGCACUUUAAAGAUGAAAAAUCGCUGCAGAAACCAACUUAAUUGGCAGACAUUUUCAUCACAUGAUCCAGUUUAACAAGUCUUUGCAAGGAUCUGGAUAUAUAUAUAUUUUUACUUUAAAUGCAAGAUUUCUGUAGUUAAAUAAGAAAAAUCACAUAUUUAGAAAUAUCAGUUGCAUUUAAAAAAUCAUGUUACAAAAGAGAAUCUUGAAAUAUUUUUACCACUACUUGGGCUUAGACUGAGAAACGACACGAGCAAAGCCCAAACUUUUUUGAAAAUCAUCUAGAGAACUCCAGAGUAAUACUGAACAGUAUUUUUCUUCCCUCUCAACUCAAAGUAUAUAACAGAAUAAUAAACACUUUCUCUGUAAUUUCUUUUCAGCCUGAGACCUUAGCUUUGAAAGAAGAGGAAGAGGCCGGGAGCCAUAGUUCAUGCCUGUAAUCCCAGCAAUUUGGGAGGCCAAGACAGGCAGAUUGCUUGAGCUCAGGAGUUGGAGACCAGCCUGGGCAACAUGGCGAAACCCUGUCUCUAUACAAAAUACAAAAAUUAGCCAGGUAUGAUGGUGUGCGCCUGUAGUCCUAGCUACUCUGGAGGCUGAGGUGAGAGGAUCACUUGAGCCUGAGAAGUUGAGGCUAUAGUGAGCCAAGACCGUUUCACUGCACUCCUGUACUCCAGCCUGGAUGACAAAGUGAAAUCCUAUCUCAAAAAAAAAAAAAAAAAAGAGGAAUAACUUAAUGAGCUGCAGUGUGACCACACAAUCAAGAUUAGAGUUACUAUUCUGUCUCUAGACACCUUCUACAUUUCUAUAGAAGAAAAAGAAUCUCCCUCCAGUCAGAAGGCACUGAAUACUUUGAUGCAGUUUUUAACUUCUAACAUGUGUAUGCAACCUUCUACUUGUUUAAAAAGGCAUUGGGAGCAACUACAGAAAUUGUCUCAUUCAGUUUAAAAUGAAACUAAUGUGUGUUUAUUGCAAGUUUGAACCAGCAUUGAGCGACUAUUUAGCAAAGAAACAUAGGCACAGUUUUCAUAUAAAUUUAAUUAUUUAUAUUUGAUUCCAAAAUAACUUUUAGGCAUAUAUAGAGUUAUGAAAAAGUUUAUGUAACCAACACAUGUGCAUAACAGUUUGAUAACUGAUAUAUUGAAUCUAAACAUACCACUCAGAAAAUAUUUUUUCCAAAGAUAUGUUAAAUUAUAUUUUAGGCCAUAAUUUUAAUCAUAUGUCUUUGGUUUACAGUUUUAGUAGUUUUAUCAUUCAACCAUAUCAACCCAUUUCAUGUUGUAAUAACAUCAAAUAAUAUCCAAUUAGAAUCACCAUUUAUAUAUUUUCUUUAUGAGUUAUACAUCUUGAAAAGGAAGGAAAGAAAUUAAUGGGCAGAAAGGUAAAUUAAGCUUAAUACCAGAUUUUACUCAAGAAAGUUUGGCUGACAGGUCAAUUCUGGUUUUAAGAAGGGGAAAAGAAAAAAGAAAACUUUUUCACAUACUUUAUGGUAAUAUCCUUAUUAGAACUCUGUAUAGUAAAACUCUAUGUUAAGUCUUUCAGAAAAACUUGAAUUGAGUUGAAAAAAUAAGUAGGAGGUGAAAUUUUUUUUAAAGGAAGAAAAAUUUGAGUUGUUUUAUAUAUAUAUACUAUUACCUUAGUAGAUGGUAGAGAAAAAUAUACAAAAAAUGAUAUAAGUUGUCCAACAUAAGCAGAUCUGCAGAAAAUAGAUUAUUCUCUAUUCAAAAAAUAAGAGGCAACUAUUAUUGGACUAAUAUAUCUAAAAUUUAUUAUUCAUGCUAAUAUAUUAUGCAAUGUAGAUAUAACAAUUUUUUUUUGCAGAGGUUCCCUGAGACAUGUAAAUAUUUUCAAGGUUUUCUCCAAGGUAAAAAGUGAUUGAGAAUGAGUGCUGUAAUAUAUGUAAAUGUAAGCAUAUCACAUUAAAUGAAAGCAAAAUAAAUGAAAUAACCUUCUUUCAAAAAUGAAGUUCAGACUGUUGUAAGUAUGAAAUAUAUGGAUAUACUGUUUUCAAGAGUCAAGCCUAAAAUGUAAAGGAACGGAAAAUUAAAUUUCAAAAGUUAGAAAUGUAUGUGUAAAGCAUAAACUAAGUAGAUGAUGCUGUUGUAGUUAAAUUAAUAUCAGAUUAAAAACCACACAAACAAAAUUAUGAUAAAGUUAAAAAGGAUCACUACAUGAAGAUUUAAUGCAUAUCUAAGUUGAACAGUUCUAAAAUUGAAUACAGCUGUUCAUAUAACUUAAUUUAAUGAAAAAUUUGCCAAAAUUUUAAGAAAGUGUGGCCAAAUCUAAAAAUUGAGUGGAUGCUUUUAAAAACACAUUAUAGAAAUGGAUGAAAUUGACAAAAAUAAUCAGAACGAAUACAACAGACAUUACCAGCAUAAUUAACAGGACAGAACUAAUGUCACUCACUGAGUAGGAAAUACACACGAUUGAAGACUAUUCAAAAAACAUUCUGAAAACUGAUAAUGUAAUGGUUCAUAAAGCUAGCAGCAACAAAUGACAAGGAAUUUUUAUGACAUAUAGAAUAAAUUAUCUGAUCACAAUAUAUAUUUACUCCCAUUCUAUAUUCCAAAAGAUCUAUAAUUCAAUUCCCAGUUCAGGUGGAAUUCCACAGUUCCAUUUCAUUUCCAAGAGAAAAGAGUGCAUAUUUACCAAAUACGUAAACAAUGAUGUUCAUAGAAGAUAAAUACCUCAGAGCCAAAGAGCUGGAAAUAAUCUAAUAUUCAUCAACAAUAACAUUGAUCAAUAAAUUGUGCUACAUUCAUACAAUGUGAUACUGUACAGCUACAAGAUUGAACUACUGGUACGUGAAACAACAUGGAUGAAUCUCACCAGUGAGAUAAUAAAUGAAAAAAGUUAGAUACCAAAGAGUGUAUACUGGUGUGGGGAGAGAUUGAGGCAUGAGAUCAACUGGAAAGAGGCUUUAAGGAAACUUACGGGACACUGUAAAUCAUUUAUCUAUUGGUCUGAGUGGUAGUUACAUGGAUUAAAAUAGUGGUAUGUAGAUACAUUUAAAUUUGUGUCCAUCCAGUUGAGCACCUUAGGAAUAUUAUACUGUAUUACAAAUAAACUCAUUAACUAAAGAAGAAAUCAUAAUAAAAUUUAGAAAAUAUUGAGAAUUGAAUCAAAUAAAAAUACUAGGUAAAAAUGUAUAGAAUGCAGAAAAGCUCAGAAUUAGUGAGCUAAGCAACAACAUGAAGAGUUUAGAGGCCAGGCAAGGUGGCUCACUCUUGUAAUCCCAGCACAUUGGGAGGCCGAGGUGGGUGGAUCAUGAGGUCAGGAGUUCGCAACCAGCCUGGCCAACACAGUGAAAGUCCAUCUCUACUAAAAAUACAAAAAUUAGCUGGGCGUGGUGGUAGGCGCCUGUAAUCCCAGCUACUCGGGAGACUGAGGCAGGAGAAUCACUUGAACCCUGGAGGUGGAGGUUGCAGUGAGCUGAGAUUGUGCCACUGCACUCCAGCCUGGGCAACAGAGCUAGAUGCCAUCUCAAAAAAAAAAAAAAAGAAAGAAAAAGAAUUUAGAAUAACUCAAAGUAGAAUGUGAUUAAGAUAAGAGCAAAUAACAUAAUAGAAAACUACAUUAAUCAUAAUAUAAAACUAUAACAUAUUAAUCAUAAUAGAACAAAUUUACCAAAAUCUAAUCAAAAAGAAAUACAAAACUGAAUAGUUCUAUAAUCAUUUAAACAGUGCGAUUGGUUAUUGAAAAUAUUUCUAGAUAUAAGUGUCAGUCCCAGAAAGUUUCUUAGAGAACUUCUUUCAAACCUGGAAGGAAAUAAAAAUUAUAAUUUUACACAAAUUCUCCCAGGAAAGAGAAGAGAAGGGACACCUUUCAAUUCAUUUUAUUGGACAAACAGAAUGGUAAUAUUAGACAAAGACAGUAAAGGAAAAAUAUUGAUCAAUCACUUUUAUGAGUAUAGAUGCAAUACCAUAAACAAAUUAACAAGCUAAUUCAUCAAUGCAUUAAAAACAAUGCAUUUCGAUCAAAUUGAGUUCAUAAAAGGAAUUCCAGGUUGGUUUAACAUCAGUGAAAAAACAUUAAUUUAUUACAUAAAAUCAUUAAAGUAGGAAAUAAUAUUAUCAUCACAAUAUACAGAAAAUUUAUUCAGCGGAAGUCACUAUGUAUAAUGAUUUUUUAAAGUGCUUGGAUAACUAAGGCAUGAAGAAUGUCUUUAAGUUGAUAAAGGGUUUCUAUAAAAUAUCUAUAGGAAGCACCAUUUUUAUAGAUCUUUUUUUUUCUAUCAGAUAGCGACAGUGGCAUUUUAAAUUCUCCCAUUAUGGUAAUUGAUUUAUCUAGUUCUCCUAGUUAAAAAUUCUAUCAAGUUUGGCUUUAUAUAUCCUAGGAGAAUGUUAAUAAGUCCAUGAAAAUUGAGAAUUAAAAUUUUUUAUCCUUUUGAAAUAUCCCUUUUAAAAAAAUUGAAACUGUCAGCUUUAUUUUGGAUAAUAUUUGUUUGUUCUUUUUUUUUACUUUCUUUAAUUUCUGUAAAAUUCUGUAUCUUAGUUUGUGCAGUAAUUAGUAUGAAAUUGGGUUUGAUUUUACUUUAAACCAAUAUGAUGAUAUGUGUAUUUUAUUUGGAGUUUCAAAAUUCAUUUACCAUUAAUAUAAUAAUUAUUGUAUCUAGCUUAUAUUUAACAUCCUGUCAAUGUUUGAUUUUUGUUUCAUAUAUUUGCCUGUUUUCCGCUACUUUAUCAGCUAUUUCUGUAAUGACCAGUAUUGUUAUUAUUAGUACCAUUAUUAUUCAGUAUUUCUUCUCCAUUAGUGUUUUAAUUAUACUUAGAUAUACUAUAGUUUCAGGGAUUAUCUUCACUAUUACAUUAUUCAUCUUGACAUUAAAAUCUAAUGCAAUUAGUACUUUAACUUUUUCCUGGAAAAUGCAAGAAUGUAAGAAUCAUUUGACUGAAUUAAUUCUCCUACCCUUUGUGAUAUUGUUGCCAUGCAUUUUAUUUCAUUACAUAUUAUAAACUUCAGAAGACAUGAUGAUGCAGUCAAUAAGUUUUCAUAUUUAUAUUUACUUUUACCUUUGCUUCUCAUUUAUUUCUUGAUUCCUGUGUUCCAUUAUGGAAUCUUUUUAUUUCUGCCUGAGAAAAUCCUUUAGUAUUUGUAUUAGUCAGGAUGCAGUUAGGGAAUAGAAAAUAUAUUAGUAUUUAAAGAAGGAAAAAUUCAGUAUACAUAUUUGUUAACUAUGGAAAGGGGUAAAAAAGAAUACUGAAUGGUUUUAAAGUCACAAAUGCAGGAAACAACUACCACUUCUAGAGCUAAGAGAGUGUGAAUCAGGAAGGAACUAAGAACUUAGACGAGGUCCCCUGCUAAUAGAGAUUCAGGUAUUUCUGGCAAGGGCAAGAACAUGCAGACUGCUAGUGGUAAAGAAACAUGCUGAAGUAAGUGCACGUGAUAGUGAAGAUCUUUCCAGAGACCAUGGUCAUAGGUGUUGUACAGGAGUAGCCUGCUAGGUGAUGAGAAAACAUCCUGAAUGUUGACCGCAGCUUGUCCAUAUGAACCACUGGUGUGAGUGCCACCAGGCUUGCCACAUGCUUCUGGAUUGGCUGUCACGUUGAAAAGCAGCACAGCAGAUAGAAGAAGAAAGCUCUUUUCUACUUGUCUCCUUUCACAGUGUCCUUCCAGGAAUGUCUUAAACCAGCUAGCAAAGGAAGAAUGUCUGUUAGGUUCAGUUCUAGUAUCACAAAGAAAGGUAAAGAAGAGUGAAUGAUGAGAUGAGAGGCAUUUUUCAGAAUGGGCAUAAUCUACCCCUUCACCUCUUCAUCUUCCAGACACAUCCUUCAUGUAGUGUGAGUUUCCAUACAGCAGGCAAACAACUCUAUAAUUCCAUCGAAUAAAAAGUUGUUAUCCUUUUUGUAAGUGCAAAGUCCUUUUUCUCUCACAAAAAUGAUGAGGCCCAUGGUCCUAAUAGCCCAUCAUUUGCUAUAUUAUUCACUAAUCAAAUUCAGUCACAAUCCCACUGAAUAUUGUUAUCUAAAGACUACAUUAUAAAAUUAUCCACCAAUAUGUUGUAUAUAAAAUAAAAAGAAAAAUGGGAAAGAAGAGAAUAUAAUUAAUAUAAUCUAAUACAUAUACAUGUAACAAGGAGAAACAGUAAAAUUAACUAUAGUUCACAUUUUAAUAACUGGUCAUGACUAUUAUUAAUAUUUAUGACUUUUCUUCUACAAGCUUUGCCAUAUUCCCUUGCUCUCAGAAAAAUACUGCAGCUGGCCAAGAUUUUGUUAGGUGGGGUAACCCAAACUGUUAUUCUGAAAGGGCUAUUUUCAAAAGUCCUACUUUUUUUGUUUGUUUAUACUAUCAUUAAUCUUAACUUUUGGAUGUGAAAGUACUAAGAGGUAUCCCUAGAGACUCCCAGGAGUUCCACAUGGAUUCCUCUUCGCCUCCAUUGUAAAACUGCAAAUCUAUUUCAGCUUCAUAAUCAUUAUCAUUAUGACUAUGAUAUAUAAUCAUAUUCAUAUAAUUAUGAAUAUAAUAAAUCAGAAGAAUAACCACUUUCUGUAUUUGUUAAGUCGAUGACAUAAGGAGCACAAAAUGUCCAGGAGGCAUUCUCAUGUGUCAAUUCAAUGGAAACAAUGUGUAUCUGAGUAGUAGCAGUCUUCCUUUAGGAAAAAAAAGAAUUCCACACUAGCAGAACUCAAAGUUCUUGAUACAAGAACCAAAAUUUUCACAAAUAGACUAUUAGGUAUGCUAGUGAGGAGUCUUUCCCACUUCCUCUCCUUAAUUCUCAGACCCAUGUAUUCCGGCAAUAAAGGAGACAGGAACAUAAAAUGGUUUCUGAUUGAGUUUAGCAUUGUCUUCCAACUGUCACUGUAACUGAGUCCUCAGGAAGCCAAUUCUAUCUUUCUAUUAAGCCAGUGACUUCUCAGGUAUGUGCAAAUACAAGUAAACUAUAUGAGCAUAAGCCAAUUGCUUCACUUCUUUUUCUAUAAAAUAAAUUUCUUGAUAAGAAGCAAUUUUAUGCAGUAUAUAAUGAUGGUAGAUAGGUAGUCCAUAAGUCAACUGGAUGGCAGAGCUGGCAGAAGCAUUACUGGGAGAUAAAGCAAAUCUGCGUCUGUAUGCAGAAUAAGUGCAUACCCCAGAGAGGCAGAAUCUCUGCUCCCUUUGUGAAGAAGAAGUUCAAUGUAAUCAACCUGCCAUCAGGUGCCUGAUGGUACUCCUGGGGUAUGGUGUCAUAACUGGGUCUCAGCACUGGUUACUACUAGAGACAUUUUAGGUACUUAGCAUUAGUAGUAGCAAGGUCAGCUUUGGUAAGAGGAAAAACAUAUUUUUAAACUCAUUAGUAGUCUUACUCCUGACAGUAUAGACACUUUGUUUAUAGUCCCAUUGAGCAAAUACUGUGGUUGCCUGAGAAAGAAGUUUACUGAUAUUCACAGUGUCAUUGUGUCCACUUGAUUACUGAGAGCCUUCUCAACAAUGGAUGUUCCUUAGUGUUUAUUCAUAUGAGAUAUAAAUAUCUUCAAAUCUGGGCUCAUUCUGAAAGCUCUAUCCUCUUCCCUAGAUUUCCAAUUUUCCAAUAUUAUUCUUUCCAAGUCUCUGACCUUUCAGCCAAACUCUUAACAACUGCCUGUGAAUCAGAGCACAUUUUUUUCCUGGCCAAAUAGAGUGGCCAAUGAAAGUAAAAUAAAAUUGUACCGUUCAAGAUUCUGCACACUGGAAGGAUUUUCCUUUAUGACUCUGCUUCAGAAUCACCCCUGGGGAGGGUUGUAAUUUCUCAGCCAUCUACUUCUGGAUGGGAUCAUAUCAUGUAGAUCCAUCUUUUAACUAGGCUCAAGUUUUAAUUUCUCAUUCAACUAAUUGUAAAGAACAUGAAGGCUUAGGCAAUGGUGAAAGGAGAAGUUAGUGUAGCAGGAGUCAGUAUCAAGAAAGUGUGAUCUACUUGCUCAAUUUACUUGUACCUUUCAGACAUGCCUGAGCCUAGUCUCUUAUAUGUAAAUAUUUUUAGUUGAUAAUAUAUUCCUACUGUGCAUGAACAACUUUUUGGCUGUGGGUCAGAUAAUACCAGUUAGUGAUAGGUAUCUCAGGCUGAAGGGUCAUCUGAUACUACCAUGGUUAGGACCUCAGUCUCUUCUAAGAGCCAGUAGCAAACAUGAUGCUCUUUCUCCACUUUACAUCGCUAUAAUUUUCAUUUAUUUUUCCAUACGUUCUCAUUCUUUCUCGAAAUGUUUCAGCUAGUUUUCUGUAUUUUUAAACAUUUUAAACAUGAUCAUAUAAAUUUUGGUGUCUAUUACUCAGCUUUGGACAUUUAGAAUUUGAGGACCAUGGAUUAUCAAAGUACAAAUGUUUAAAGGUUAUUUUAUAUAUAUAUAUAUAUAUAUAUAUAUAUAUAUAUAUCUUUAGUUUUGUAAAUAGAAAUGAAUAGGAGAUAAAGAUUAUUGAGUUAUUAAUAUUAAUGCAGAGACAGUAAUUGAGGCCACUGGAAGGAAUUAGCUCUCCAAGAAAAAGUAGGUGGAAUAAGAAAAGAGAACAUAGGAUAUAAUUUUGAGAAAUACCCAUAUUUAAUGUUCAGGGAGAAAAGACAUUAAGAGAAUAACCAAAGGAAGAAAAAAGUAAUCAGAAGAACAUCUCACCAAAAGUUAGGAAGUAGAAUAUUUUUUGAAGGAAGAAAUAUUCAAUCAAUAAUGUUAGACUGGGAAAGAAGUCCCAGAAUUGUUCAAUAACUUUUGGUGACAGUCUCUGGAGUCUAGCAGUUAUAAAGUGUGGGUUUUGAAGCCUACUGAUUGGACACAAAUACUGACUCUACCACUAAUAAUUGUGUUAUCUAGUUAAGCUGUGUGUAUUUCAGUGUCAGUUCUUAUGGAGUAUUAAAUUAAAACAUGUAACUAAUUAGAACAAUGCCUGGUACAUGGGAAACCAUAACAUGUUGUUAUUAUCAUCAUCACUUUUGUUACUAUUCAUUUUAUUUUGGCAAAAGUGACACAUUGUAGUGAUAAUGGGCAGCAGAUUGAGGAAUACAUAAAGCAUUAGUGGAAACAGAGUAGACUGUAUUUUUCAUGAACUAUUAACAUAUUUGACUGGGAAUGGUAAGACAUGAAGUGGUGAUGGAGUUAAAAUAAGAUAUUUCUUUUUUUUUGGAUAAACUUGAGAAUUUUUACUUUCUGAAGGGAAAUAAUCAGUGGAGGGAAGGUUGAAAAUAGAGAAGGGAAGAACAAUCUAUAGCAAAAAAGUUCCUGAGAACACAGAAAGAUACCACAAUGCAAUAGGUAAAGGGAUUUGUUUAGGUAUAAGGAGGGAAGCUUCUUUAUUGAGUCUACAGAUGUGCAAGAAGGUUAGAUAGUAUGCAGAUAGAUUAUUAAUGGCAAAUUGGUAUUAUUAAACAUUAUUUUAUACUUUUUAUUCUACUGAUCAGUGUAUAUUUAAUUUAUUCUUAAAUUAUAUAUUUAUUUAUUUGAUCAUUUGUUGGUUCUUCAAGUCAUUAUUUAGCAAAUGUUUCCUGAGUACUUAGUAUUUGCCCAAGAUAAUGUUAGCAAAUAAGGAUAUAAAAAUCUUGAGAAUUAUAGUCUGUGAAUUAACGGAGAGGCCAAACUAGCUGGAAAGAAGCAUAUAAAGAGUAAAGUCUGAAAUAUGUCGAGAGCUGUGAGAGAUAAAUACAGAGUGUUGUAGAAGCCUAGAAUGGAUUGGGUGGGUUGGUGAGUGGUUUGAAGCACAGGAGUGGAAAGCAAAGCUCCUUUUCUUGGUUCAUAAGCCAAGGAAAUGCAAAAUGCUUUUAAGUUUGGCAACUGACUCUGAUUUUCCAACAGUGUUUUGUGGAAACUUGGGUUAAUUUUGGAUCUCCACAAGUUGCUGCAGAGGCAAGUAGAAAAUUACGUAGCAGAACACAGCCCUCUGACCCAUUCAGUUCAAGUCUAUUUGGAUCUUUUUCAUAAAUGAGGUCCUGUGUAAGAUUUUGGUGUAACAGACAUUUCUGCUAUUUAAAUAAAAACACAUUUAACACGUUUGCCUUAAUAAUUUUUUGAAGGAAAAUCUGAUGGAGAAUCAAUAGUUAAUAGACUCCACAGAUAAAUUUUUAAAGAUAUUUGAUGAUUAUUUCUGGUUUCAAAAAAUGCAUAUGAUUAUUUCUUAUGACACAGGCAAUAAAAGCUUAUCUUUCUUUACAAAGAAUCUGUAAGUUUUAGGAAAACUGAGACAUAGAGAACAAGAUAUGCUCUUUAAUAUGCUUAGUAUGUUGAUAAUGUUGUCCAUUUAAAAUAAAUUAUACAUGCAUAUGAAAAAUUUGAGGAAAUACAAUUCCUGAAACAUUUUUAGCGCAUGAAAUGUUGAGAGUUUUAGCAUUCUUUCUAAAAACAUUUCUGAGCAAAGAAUGCAAAAUACAGCUGGAAAAUUAUUAUGCUGAAAUGUUGAUUGCAUGUUUUUAAAAGAGACAAAAAUAAAGUAAAUGUGCUAACCAGGAAGUAGUGUUAGCAACAAUCCCAAGAAGAAAGAAUGUGAAAUGCAGAAAAGAAGUAGUAAUUAGGAUUGUGAGUCAUUAUAAUGUUAAAAUUGAAAAUUGAAUCAUAUUAAAGUUAUUAAAGUCAAAACUUAUGGUUCCUUAGUAGCAUUAUCCGAGUCAUAUUACCCAUAUGUACUAUUUUCUCUUCCUGUUUGGUUUAUUUUGCCUCUGGUCUUCAGCCAUUAACGCAAAAUGAAUUAAAAUUAUAUUGUUCUGUUUUUCAAAGAUUGCUUUUUUGCUUCUUCAUUAAAAAAUGAGAUUAUAAAAAUGUCUGUCAGACCAUUCACCUUUCAGUUUCUUGACAUAAAUGUGUUUAAGAACUAUAUUUUGAAGACUAUUUUUUUUCACUCGGUACUUCAGUUUUUUUACUUACAUUUACAAUGUGCAAAAUUUCAGGAAUGGCAGGUAAGAGAGAUAAGUGACUAAAAUAAGAUGGAUUUGAUCACCCUUUCCACAUUAAGAAAGACAUUGAAAUUGCUUCAUUUGGGCAUGUAAACAGACAAAAAAGCAAACAGGGAAACAACUUUUUUUCAUUGUCAUCCCUGGACUCCUUUCUGUUUCGGCACAAUACAUUUUUUUCUUCUUUAAUGUUUUUGAGGAGAAGAAUCAUUAUAAUCUUAAUAGUUCAGUAAAUACUUGUUUACUUCCUCAGUUGCUAGACUCUUAGGAGAAAAAGUGAUUUUGACAAUGCUUAGGAAUAAAAUAACCGAAUACUACUUAAGUGUUUCUGCGGUGCUUUAUGGGCUGGCAAAUGGUCAGUUACACACACAAUGCCACAGCUUUCUUCUGACAUAAGCUUUUCAUUAUUCUCCCUUGCUGUGUGUUGUGUCUCUUCUUUGUUUCUUUCUUUUUUUUUUGAGACGGAGUCUCGCUCUGUCACCCAGACUGGAGUGCAGUGGCUCGAUCUCGGCUCACUGCAAGCUCCGCCUCUUGGGUUCACGCCAUUCUCCUGCCUCAGCCUCCUGAGUAGGUGGGACUAAAGGCGCCCGCCACCACGCCUGGCUAAUUUUUUGUAUUUUUAGUAGAGACAGGUUGUCACCGUGUUAGCCAGGAUGGUCUCGAUCUCCUGACCUCGUGAUCCGCCCGCCUCGGCCUCCCAAAGUGCUGGGAUUACAGGCGUGAGCCACCGCGCCCGGCCUUGCUGUGUGUCUCAUCUAGCAUCGUUGGCGGGGCUCACAAUAGCGCAUCUGAUUUUAUGCAUAGCUUACUAUCUUUCAACAUGCUGAAGCAGCAGGAGUUGAAAAAAAAAGGAGAGUGUUAAUGGAAUAUAGGAAAAAGAAGGAGGAAUCAGCAGAAAGAAAAAGAGAAAGGUACCACCGACGAUUCUUUUAGGGCCCCUGGUUCCUUUAAUUUUCCUUUUUGUUUCUCAGUGAUCUGACAUCAAAGACCCAGGCUAGACGUAGGUCUGGCUAAAUUUAUCUGAUGACGUGAUCAGUUCCAGCAUCCUUUAAGUUUUGUGGAAUAAAAAGUAAAUAAAAAGAUUUGAAUCAAUCAGAUACCUGCUGAAAUUAACCAGUCAAUUUAUUUAAACGGUUCAUUGAGCAGUCCGGUGACGUGACAAUCACACAGCUAGUGGGAAAAUGAAAGAAAAAGAGCGGUCGGCUGGCUAGUUUUUAUAUAUGAUGACAAUCAUUCAACUUGAAGUCUCAUUUGUUCUUCCCUUCACAGUUUGCCAGACCUGACUGGUUAUUUUCGUAACAGAAAGACAUAGACAUAGUCUCUGCCAAAUCUGCUUCACGAUCAAGUUUAGUGAGUCAAGCAAGACUAUUCAUUGAGCAUUCAUAAGUGCUAUGACAAGGAGCUACAGAUUUUAGGAAAUAUGAUUAUUCAAUAAAUUAGACAUAGCCACACUCCUCAAUCAUCAUUCCAAAGGAGGAUAUAAGACAACUGCACAUAAAUAAUUAUCAAGAACACUGCAAGGAAGAAAUUAUAAUAGAAGAGAAAUUUAGUUGAAAUGUUAGUGAUCUUAUAAUCAAUUUACAGCUAAAUUCAAGAAUUCCUCUUAAACUACGUCAGUAAUCCUCAAGUGUGUGCAUAUUUGCAAAUCAUAAAUUUGUAAAGAUAUUUCUAAAUCUAAACAUUAAGAGAAGGGGGGAUAAAACAUUGUGGAUAUGAAAGAUAUCCUACCAUUGAUAAAAUAUUUGAUCUUGUGACACGAACAACACCCACAAUACAAAAUAUACAAGAAAUUUUUAUUAUCCAAUAAAAUGACAACUGGGUGAUGUCAGAAAAAGAUAAAUUGAUAUAGAAAUAUUUGUGGAUUGAUAACUCAAAAAUUCUCAAUUGGAAAAAUUCUACUAUAAUACUUGGUUCUUGGAAAUGUGGCCAUUCAAUUAAUUAAGCACUGGAAGAAUUGCUUUUUGCAAAUUAUUACUAAGUGAUUCAUUUUUGCUUCACUUGCCUGCAUACCAGGAACAUACUACAUUCUGGGGUAUUCAGUUUUUCUUAUACUGAAAGUUUCCUCUCUUUUGAUUCUACUUUAAGGUCUCAGUUCUAUUCCUAAUAAGAUGGUAGUGACUACCUCUGUAUGUUUACUCAUAUACCAUAUUGUAUCUAAUCUAUAGCAUACCAUAUAACUGAUGUUAUUAUGAGGAGUGGAGCCACAUCAAGUGAUGCUUUAGAAAUGUAUAUGGAUUUUUUGGUUGUAAAAGUGUAUUGGGAGUAACCGCACACAUUUCACUGGGGGAUGGCUGGGGUACCAGAUGUCCUGCAGUGCAUAAGUUCAUCAUAUAACAUGAAGAAAAACUUUUCAGCCCCUGCAAGACCUUUUGACCUCUUUUGAACUCCUGUCAGUUAUUCAUGCAAAGUCGAGUGAGGAGACUCUGUAUUAUUUGGACCAAGAACCAAAUUAUCUUUUACUUAUAAACAAAAUAAUUUGUACUGUUUUAAUUUAAAUUUUCCAGAAAACAACUAUAAGGUAAAUUUAAAAAAGAGCAUACUUUGUUGUUUGAAAUUUCACCAAAAUAAAAUUGCAUCAUCAAUAAGAAUGUCACUUUAGUGUUUGAGGGAAUAAUUCCAAACUGUACUUUUCUGUAUUUGUAGUUACUAGGUUUGUAUUUAUUUUAUGUAUCACUGUGAUCUUCUGACCACUCAACUGUACCUCAUAUACUUUUAUGCUUUUUAAAUCUGUAAACGUAUCAAGAGAUUUUAAAAACUGAAAAUGCAGAUGGAAACCUGCAUUUUAUUUCUAUUCUCCUUGUUGGGAAUGUUUUCUCAUAAUAGUUCCUAAAAAUAACUACUAUGGCGUUAAUCAUUUAUAAAAUAAGAUAAUGAUCAUUUUAUAUACCCCCUGUACAUAUUGACUUAAUAAUGUCUGUAAGACUUAGAUUUAAAGCAAUGCAAAGAAAGAUUCAAAUGAAGGCAGUGUGGGCAUGGUGGUUCUACAUUUUUUUGAGUGGAACUUCAUUCAUUAAGUAUUUUAAUUUCAUUAACUUUAAGACUUUAUGAGAAUUAGAUACUAGUUAUGAAAUGUGAAUCAGCUGUCGUAGUUUUCAAUUUGGAGGCUUUACCAUCAACCCAUUAAGAUCAUUGAUCCUUUUGUAUUCACAGUAAAAAGAGCAGUAUCUGACUUAAAUUAGCUUUCCCUUUUCUUUGAAAAGUAACAAAAAUAAGAGUGUAGUGUUCAAAUAAAAUUGACCCCAUGAAAAUCUCAUAAGGUUUGUCCGGAAACAUUUUUAGCCAUUUUCAACAGUAUUCAACUGCUCCUUUUACAGGUCCUUUUAUAUAAUAAUCAAUAUAUGCAUAGAGAAUUGGUACCAAUUCUCUUAUUUCAAGCUAGCAAGAAAAACAGAUCAAUAAAUCAUGAACUUUCUUUGCUGCUUCUUUCAACUUUAACAAAACAAUUUUUCCAACCACUAAGCCAGUAGCCAAUAUUGUGAUAAAGCUGUUUCUAAGUUCAGAAUGUUCUGAGAUUGAUACAGACCCCAGAGUACACUUAUUUAUUUCUAAAUACUAAAAAAAAAAAUUAUAACUGGUAUUCUUGAACUCCCUCCUAACAUCAGGAAAUAAUGCAUUUAUUUCAUUAACAAAUGUAAUAAUUAGCAGGUGAAAAUAAAGUAUUUGCAUCAUUUCUUCUUUUAAAGAGACUGUGAUAGUAAUAGAAACUUGAUUAGCUGCAGCCUAUAAUCUAGAAAAGUUAGUUGAAUUUAAUAACCACAAUUAAUUACUGUAGUUCACCAAUAUGGUUUAUAAAUAUGGGAAAAUAUUCCCUGAUAUAGAGAGUACUACAAAUAAAUAUGUUAUAGCUCACUUUCCACAAAUGCUUAACUAUAUUAAGAAAGCCAUUUCAUUUAUCUGACACUAAUUUUUUCUAGCCUUCAAAGAUGGUAUUUGAUUAAAUGUUCUCUAAAUUUCUUUCCCCUUUAAUAAUCUGUUACAGUCUCUGUUUAGACUGAAAUUCAGUUUAGAUUAUAGGACAAUUAGGUUGAUUCUUAAUCAGUGGAUCAAAACUUCCAGAUUAAAUAAAUUGGAUAUUGUUGUGUCUUUUGGAGGAAGACAUACAAAGAAUAAUCAUCAAAAAGUCAAGAGACACACAACUUUAACAGACAGUAAACAUAGUACAUAUGAAAAAUGGAAGUCUAUGUGACCUCUUCAUUGAAACUAUAAUUGAAAAGUAUAACAUGCAUAAUCAAUGAUAAAUUUCUAAGUAUGGUGAUAUGGUUUGGCUAUGUGUCUUCACCCAAAUCUCAUGUCGAAUUGUAAUCCUCAAUAUUGGAGGAGGAGGCCUACUGGGAGGUGAUUAGAUCAUGGCAGCAGACAUCCCCCUGGCUGUUCUCAAGACAGUGAGUGAGUUCUCACAAGAUCUGGUGUUUAGAAGUGUGUAGGACUUCCCUCUUUACUCUCUCUUCCUCCUGCUCCAGCCAUGUAGGAUGUGCAGGCUUCUCCUUUGCCUUGUGACAUGAUUGUGAAUUUCCUGAGGCCUCCCCAGCCAUCCUUCCUGUAUAUCCUGUGGAACCGUGAGCCAAUUAAACCUCUUUCUUUAUAAAUUACCCAGUCUCAGAUAGUUCUUUACAGCAGUUUGAGAAUGGACUAAUACGUAUAGUAAAGGAAGACCUAGAAAAGAAAAACUGCCUUAAAAAGGCCUAGAGAUUUUAGAAGACCACAAGACCAAUACCUACAAAUGAUGUGAUGUGUUUAAAAGAGCAAACAAAGAUCUUGGGUACAAUUGUGAAAAUACAAUAUCUUGGUUUAUGAAAACAAUAGAGCCUGUAUUCUCUCUGCUAAUGAGAUCACUUCUAAAAAUGUUUAUUUUAGGGUGUCAGAGCUAUAAAGGAACUUAGAAAAACUGGAAUAGUGGGUAGUCAAUGUUAUGAGAAAUGUAGACAUGUUGAUGAAUUUUAGCUCAAUGUCAUACCAAAGUUUUAAUUUUUUAAUAUUUUCUUGUAAUUAAAUAUAUUACCUUGUGUAAUUAAUAAUAAUCUUCAAUAAGAGAUACAGUAACACUCUGUUAGUAAUGCUGAGAAAAAAAAGUUCUCAUAUAAACAAAAAGGUGAAUUAGAGGGCCAAUGAAAUUCUUCAAAAUAUGAUCUGUAGAAGUGGAGGCUAAAGAUGAAUGUGUACAGAAUCUGGAUAAUGAAAGUAAAAUUGCCCCCUGUAUGAGCCUUGUGUACUAUAAAACAUCCAUUUCUUAUCCAUGAUCCUGGCCACUUGGGAACAUGGCUGAAGUUAGAAAACAAUACUUUCACUGUACUCAGUAUAAGUGGCCUGAUUUAUCACCUCCCCACUUUUCGCACCAUAGAACAUAUUAGCUGAAGUGAGAAUGAGUACAGUUCUCUUAUUCAUUUGUCAAGAGUAUCAUUCUGUUCAUGUUCUGGUGUAGGAAAUUAAUAUCAUUAGAGAAGAAGAAAAGGUUCUGUUAUUUUCCAAUUCUAGUCAUCAUCCUAGUAUUUCCCUGACUCAAAGUAAUGUAGCAAUUUCAAUUACCUACUGGCUAGUAUUGAGAUGAUUUUACUUACAACUCAUGGAAAUAUUUUGUUUUGUUUAUUUCCAUUUUGGAAUUGGAAUUCUAGAGGAUAUUUAUCUCCCUGUGUUUCUGCUUGACUACUUUCCUUGUGUAAAAAUAUCCAAAUUAUUUGUUUAAGUUCCCCACUGUCAGAAAAGGUUAUGUAAAUGAAUAUGUGACCUAUAUAUAGGAAGUAGUCCCUUAUGGUUUAAUCCCUCUUACAAUCACUGACUUAAUAAAACAAAUCCUUGCAGGAAAUGUGAUGCUGACCUACCUUUCAAAAUAAUGUAUUAAAAAACAGCCCUGAUUGUGUGGCAAUAAUAUGUUGAUAAAAAUCUACUUGUAUCAAAAAAUGCAAGCCAAUUUUGUGUGCCUGUAUAUAUUUGUUUUGUGGAAAUGGCCCAGAUUUAUUUUUAUUUUUCUGAUUUUAGUUUUCUUGCUAACUUCACAUUAAACAAAUAAAUUAGUUAAGUGCGAAGUAAUAUUAUUAGAGGAACGGUUUCAAGAAUGUCUGUGAAAUUGCAUUUUAAUACCCAUUAGACAUGGUUCUUCUUCUCUAUAAACUUCUCUCCAACAUUGAAAAUGCAAUUCUGCAGCAUUAAGCAAAAGGCAUAUUUGAAAUAAAGCUUGAUUUUCAAUCACUGAGCUAAACCUAUUUCAAAUAAACACCAGAAUUCAAUUAAAUAGGAGUAAACUCUUCAGCUUGACCCACUACCAUUUCAAUGCUUCGUAUUCUGAAAGUUUUAAUAGGGAACACAAGACUUGAGUUGAAUCUGAUUUGGAGAAUCCGAAUGAUCUGGCUGACCGGAAAAAUGAUAAGAGAUGGGGAGAAUGAUUGCUCUUUGGGAGAUAAAAGUUUUUGAGAAACAAGUUAGUAGAGAAACGCUUUCGAAACGCUGAUGCUGACAAAUGUGAAGCAGGUUCCCGGUGCGCUGAUUACCAAUUUGUCUGAGUCCAGUGAAACAGAACACUCACAUACAGCACAAGUUAUAGGAAGCAGAUUUAUCACUUACAGAUAGGCAAUGAGGGACAACAGAAGCCUAGGAUGCACCACAAGCCAGUCUCCCAUGGCUCAGGAAAGCUACCCAGGGUGGAUCAAGUCUCUGCUGUGCAUGCCCAAUUACACCACAGUGGAGGGACCCUCAAUGGCAGCCUGCCCCAAGUCAUACACCUCAGGGUCACAUUAACCACUGGACUAAAUUGUUGAAGAAUACCCUGUUCUGGGAAGAUGAGGGAGCUGCAAAAGAGCCUAUAGUAUUCCAGCCACUUCCUCCUUACCUCAGGAUUUUACAUUCCCAGAACAUCCUAGUUAUUCUUGAAACCUACAAGCAAAACGGGGAACUGGGUUGGUCCAAGGCCACCCAAAGAACAGUCUUGUAACAAGGAAGCAAUCAUUCUUGAGAAAGCAGAAAGGCCCCAAAUUGGCUUCAGGAAGACCCAUGGGUCUUUUUAUCAAUUUUGUUUGAAUACUCCCAGAGGCAGGUGGCAUAACACCAUUGCAAUCCAGAAGGCAAAUAAUCUAUGAAUAUAUGCCCAGUUGUCUCCAGGAAGUAAGAAAUUUACCUUGUCUACACCCAUGGUUUUAUAUGCUGCCCAUAUAUUAAUAGAGGGAAGAGGGAGAGGGUCCUCAGUAAUCAGUAAUUGUAAACAUUCAUGCUUGUUGGAAUGGUCUUCCCAUGGCCCAGUACUUUCUGCUGCAAAAGAGCACCCUCAGUAUGAUGGACAAAUUGCUAGUCAAAUUGAGAAAUUUGAGUAAAGUCAGAGAGACUUUGUCAAAAAAAAAAUCCCUACUGGCACAGAAGCUCUGUAGAGAAGACAUACUCUAUAUAGAACACAGAAUUAAGAUUUACCCAGUAUGGUAUGCCUACAAUUACAUAAGUUGGAAUUUCCUUGGGAAGUGAUUUUGGCAAAUGUUGAAGAGAAAAUCAGCACCUAUUUAUAGAAACCAGAAUUUAAAAAAAAAUCCUUUGAGUGGGGUGGUCUUUCUCAAACUUGAAGAGAUAACCAAGCCAGAUUUGAUUAGAUAAUUUAAAAGUUUAUCCAUGUGCCCAGCUCUCUGCACAAACACCCUAAAGAAAGUAAAUUCUUUGGGAGAGGCAACUGUAUAAUUUUUAAAGCUUAGGCUAAAUAUGAUGUAGUGCCAAAACUACAGAUUUUUUGAGAAGUUUAGAUGUCUAUCUAAAAAGCAUUUUAAAGUAGGUUUGAAAAAAAUUCAGGAUUAUUUUAAGAAUGGACAUCUCUAUGAGAAGGGUUAAGAGGAACAUUGAAAACAUUGCCCUGCAAGGUUAUCCAAGGCAUGUAUCAAUGUCUCAGUGAACAGUCACUUGCUUAGAAGCCUUUGGUAGUGAGGAUUUGCAUAUUAAAUUACUGGACACCUACCGGAAAGCAGGAGAAGCAUCCAAGAUAUGCAUAUUGAUUCUGGAAACGCUGAAAUAGCAAGUUGAAGAGAGAAGGGGACUAUCACUGGGAACAUCAUAUCAGAAUUCAUCAGAGAAAAUGCCAACAGGAGCUGUCUUUUACUUAAUAUAGUGAGAAAAGUGUGAGCUUCCAAUGACAACAGGACCAGGCACAGCUCCUGUGGAGAGCACGCAGAAGAUAGGAGCAAAUCUUUAGGCCAUCCUCUUCUCCUGUUCCAAUGGAUGGUUACACAAGGAUGGGAGUUGGGUGGGGUAAAAAAUGCAAUGGGAAAUAUUAUCCUACUUUGGGAGGUGAAGGAUAAUCAGAUAAUGAUUUUCAAAACUGAAGGGAGACAGAGGCAAGUAGAAAAUAAGGCAAAGAGAAUUACCUAGAAUGUUUACUCUUAUGUAUAGCUUGGUUUUAUGACCUGGCUGGUUGUGAUUCCCAUAUAUUAAUAAGUGGGUUCAUGGUCAGGACUUACAGGGCCAGGGCCAGGGUGAAGACUUUUAACAUGAAAAUUAUUUGAUUUAACCUCAGAAUUUAAUGUUACAGAAAUUCUCAAAGAUUGUAUCAAGGUACAUUGCUCAGUGUCAUAGUACACCUACUACUAGAUAGGAUUCUUUCAGGGACAUAUGUCUGGUGUGUAAACUAACAUUCUUUCUCUGUUUGCUAGUUGCUCUGAGGUUACUACAGCAGCCCCUGAUUUAUCUAUGUGGACAAUAUCCACAGAAUUUAAGCAUUAUGGUCCUGUUGCCUUGUGAUAAUGAAAAAGCAUCUAACUCUACAUUACUAGAUGUCAAUUUUGCUACAAAACUUGGAUUUUGACAAUCACACUUCCACCUUAUACACACUUGGGCAAGAAAGUUUCUAUUAGAGCCCGGAGAAAUACCACCUACAGACAAGAUCCUUAGAUUUCAGAGAUUAAAGAUGUUGUAAAGCAGGGACUCCCUAUCACCCAGUGGAGCAUGAACAAGUUGAAAUUACACGCCCUUUCUGAAUGAAGAAUGUAGCCCAUGCAUUUGUUAGCUCAGUGGUACUUGUGGUCACAGAUAAACCCCACAAUACCAGUGUUUUAAAACAGAUAAAAUUCAUUUCUUAUUCUUACGAAGUUGAAAAUAUAGUUAUGUGCUUGAGCUGAUUCACAUCAGAUCACAAAAACUGACUAGUUAAUUUUCAGUAAUUGUGUGAGCCAAUUGUUAGUCAUAGUCAUUAUUUUAAAAUAAACACAUAAUUAAAUUAUAUUAAAAACAAAUCUAAUUAAUAAUCAAAAUCCAUCACAUCCUAAUAAUGCUACUAAUAUCUCUGCUGUAGUGGUUAUUAACUUCUAUUGUAUUUGUAUAAUAGAAAUUUUAUGAAAUGGCGUGAUAUGCACAUCUCUUCCUAACUCUGUAUUCAGUGCUGAGACCUUAGCAUGAACACGGUCCAAUUUAAAAGUCAUCAAAGGCAACCUACUUACUAAAUAUUUUGUCACAUAACAUAGGUCUCCAUCUUCCCAUCCUCCAACAUCAAUUUCCUUGUAAUCUGCACCCCAGUGCCUAGGUCAAUAUUAUCAUUUUUAGGUUUUGGCCGGCAAUAUCACAUUCUAACUCAUUUCCAUAUUAGUUAGGAUAACAACAUCUACAGCAACUCCAAGACAUCAGUGAAUUAAUAAAUUUGCACUUUAUUUCUGGCUCACAUAAAUCCACAAAUGUUGCUAUUCUCCUCCAAAUGACUCUUUGCAUCCUGAGGCUCAAUCUUUGACACCUGAUUUCCAAAUUUCCCCAGGGAUCCAUCCUAUCUAGCCAGAAUGGAAAAAAAAAAAAAAAAAAGCAAAGAGGAUCGUGUGGGAAGGAUCUAUGGACCAGACCUGAGGAUAGCACAUACCAUCUUUCUCUUGUAUAGAACUCAGUUUCAGGCCACAUGGAUGCUGGGAAAUAGAGACAUCUGUGUGCACAGGUAGAAAAUAACAUAGUUCUAGUGAGGAGCCAGCAUGCCUGUGCACACCCUCAGAUGUGUGAACUCAGAGUCACACGUAGUAACUUUCUUACCUAUCAACCAAUAUCUCAUCUGAUACCACCCAAGCCAACUCAAAUAGUCACGACAUCAGUUAAUGCCAUCAUUAUCUGGUACUUAGGAAAUUGAGCUCAGAGAGGUGAAGUGACUUGCAACAGUCAAAAUGGAACUGACAGAAGCCAUGGUAGAAGCUGUGCUCAUAAACAUAUUUGGUUGAAGUAUGUACUCUGCCUCAGCUUACCUCCCUUCUUCCUUAUCCAAACAUGCUGGAGUAACCUUAGCAUAUCCCUGGAGUUUAAGGGCUAUGCUGAAAUAAUCGCUGUUCUGUGUCAUCUCUGGUUAAAUUUCUCCAAGCUGGCUCAGGACUCCCAAAAACCUCUCUUUCAGCAGGUAAAGCUCUCAAGACGUAAGAUAGUAUGGCAAGAAAUUAGUAGGGAUAGAAGAAAUUAUUUAGUUUCAUCUUAAAUGUUUAUAGCAUAUUGCAUCAUUAAACUUUUACAUGAAUUUGUUUGGGAUAGUUUUACUAAUGGUAAAAAUAAUAUCUUUACAUUGAGCUAAAUUUGCCUCCAUGUAAUUCCUAUGGAUUGUUUCCUAACUGAAUUGCAGGGAAGAAUAAUGUAAGUGUAAUUCUUCCAAGUUACAAAUUUUUAAAUAUUUAGAAGUGACCAUCUCACCCCAGUUUUCUGUUUUACAUGAAAUAAUUACAGGUCCUUUACCUGUCUAUUUUAUGGCAUCAGUUCUGCAGCCUUUAUCUUCCUCAAUACCUUUUGAAAAUAUGGUACCUAGAAGGUAAUUUAAUUUCCCAGGUGUGCUCUGAGCAUUAGAUUAGGAAUGCUCUCCAUUAUGGACUAUGCAUUCUUCUUUAUUUCUUUUUCUCCCACUGUGGUUCCUCUGGGAAGGCAUUGCUUUUUUUCAUCAUAGAAUUAUUAUUACUAUUUCAACACUGAACUUCCUUUCUCAUUAUAUGUUUGGCCCUGAAUACUGUCUCCUCCGUAUCCCUAUUUCUACAACAUCAUUCACAGUAAUGAGAUCUAUUGUUACUCAUCUGGUUAUUAAAUCAGCUCCUGUUGUCUAUAGGUUUGUAUUUUCAUCAUUAGUUCUGUAUCCUAAAUACUUCAAGUAAGCAAUUCCAUUUGCCCACAGUAAUCAAUAUGCAUUUAAUAUUUCAUUGGUUUUUACCACUAUCAGUUAACCAUGAUUUUACCAACUAGUACUUCCUUAAUUACAAAGUACUAAAAAAGAUCUUUUUCUUAAUCUUUGGCAACAUCAAUAUCAGCAUAUUUGAUUAUGAAUAACAAUAUAUUUAAAGAUAAAGAUGACUUCCUGAUUUAAUGCUUGAUUCAAUUUCCUCUCUAGACCCAGGAGGGAGUUAUUUAAGAGAUCCCAAUUAGGAAUGAUUUGAAUUAAUUGCAGCAACAUAACGUACACACUGCAUUGCAUUCCCAAUUAAGUUAGAAAGAGAUGGAAGAUAUUCUGCUGACAGCAUGUCUUUAUUGGGCUAAUAGUCAUUAUUUACGUAUCAUCAAUUCUUUAUCUAAUGUCAAGUAUUUUGUUUCUUCAGAACACAAAUAAGCAUUAUUAAGAAAAAACAAUACCAAUGAAUAAUAAAUUUAGUGAAUAAGAAUAAGAUUGGAAAAUGCAGCAUAAAUUGACGAAUCCUCAAGUACCCAAAUCUUUACUUCUGUCUGCACAUAAAAAUUAGAUGUCAACACUAUGUAGGAUUUGGAUGACUCCCUGGAGCCCAUUCUGACCUCAGAUAAAAGCUAAAUAUAUUGAGCCUUAAUUGAUUUCCAUUUGAUACUGAAGUUAAAAUGUAUCAUGGAGCAUGUGGAGAUUCUUACAGUGUUUAGAAUAUUCAUAAAACUAAAUUAUUCUCAGAGGGAAAAAUGCUUUAAUAAUGACACAUUAGAAUGGUAAGUAUUCUUUUAGUAAUAAUAAUCAUUGGCUCUUAAUCAUAAAAUAUUAGCUUCAAACUAUUACACUAUUUUUAAAAGAUUGUUUUUAUUGUGUUUAAUAUCGUUUUCCAAUUUAAUUCUAAUUUUCGUUUGAUGUUUUUAUGUAAUAUGAACAAACAUAUGACUUGAAUUAACAACAUCAAUACUUUAAAUCUCAGAUUUGCUACUUGUUUUUGUGUGACAGUGUAUACGUCAGUUUAGCUUGCAUGAUUCUCAUUUUAUUCAUGUGUAAAUUUAAGAAUAUACCAUUUCUUUCACCAAAUGUUAGUUGCUGAAUAAAUGCAUAGAUGUGUGUGUGUGCACACACAUGCAUGUGCACAGAGGUGGGGGGAGAGAGAAAAGAAAGGGAGAGAUUGUUAUUUUGUUUUGGAUCAAAAUAUUUCUCCCACAGGAUGUUCUUUGCACAAAGGCAAAUCCCUAUAUGUAAAUGGUAGAACACUUGAAUAAGAUACUGUGGUUUUAUGGGAGAAUUUUAAUCAAAUAAUUUAAUUUGAUAAUAUGUGCCUAUUGCACGUAUAUAGAAUUAGACUAAUCCCUCCUCCACAUGACCCCUCUGAUUGAAGUCAAUUCCAAAUUCUAGCUGAUACCUACAAAAUGUAACUCAAUGGAUUUGAAAAAACUCAUUUUAAAAGAAAUCAAUUAAUUUUUUUUCAAAAAUAUAUCUAGAGAGCCAAAUUAUCAGUUUGAUCCUCCCAUCAAUUCACCAGUUGACUGGUUGUGGUUGUCAGUUAUGCAGGCCUAGACUUAAUUGAAGCUGAAUAUAGUGUUUUUCUGAAAGCGGAGGAAGCCAUCCUGGAUCCCAGAAGCUAUUAUAGUUUCAUUACAUGUAGUUUUGUGAGGCAAGUACCCAGACUAAUGAAGUCUAAUUUCCUGCAGAUUAAAAAAGAGAAGUGAUAAGAUAUCACUGAUGUUAGGUAAAGAAAUUCUGAAUAUAGCACAUUUAUUCUGUUAAAUUACUCAUGAACACAUGAAAACGUGGUUGCAAGCUAACGGGAGGGCCACUAGUAUUUUCUUCCUUUGAGAGCUGUGGGGGUGUGGGAAAUUCAAGAGCCCAUUCUGUAAUCUUAAAGCCUUUCAAGUAAAAACUCUGUGGGUGAUCUCAUUUCAAGAUAAAGUUAAACUAAUAUCACAGGUCAAAACUUGCCAGCCAAGAAACCUAAAGAAAAUAUACAAUUAUCACUACCAGGAAUGCACGUAAUAUUUGUAACCUAGAAAACCACUAAAGAAGAAUGCUAUUUGUAUUGAGCUUAACAUUGCAUUCAUUUUGAACAAAUGAACAAUAUAUGGGUAUAAGUACCUACAUUCUAAAAAUAUAUCACACCUACAAAUUUAUAGCACUAGGAAAUAUCAGUAGAAAAUCAGCUGUCAGUUUACUAGAAAUAUCAGGUAAUUCAGACUGUCCAAUGUUAAAAUUAGUCUUAAAAAGCACGUUAUUGCUAUCAUAAACCAUUAAAGGUGGUUUAUAACCAGGGGAAAAAUCCUUUAAAAUCCUUCACUACUACAAUUCACAAGCCAUUGCUACAAUUCACAACUCGUUUGUUAGAGUCUUAACCGCCCUCAGCUUUGCCUUGGGCCAUUAACUAACAAACCAAUCAUUAACUGCUAGUAAUGACCACUUUCCCAGGGAUUAUUGCUUAAUUCAACUCUUGUGUGGGAUCCAUUAUUUUCUGAGAUGUCAAAAUAACUAUGCAUUAAGACAUUUUUCUGUAAUAAAAGCACCUCCUGAAAUAAACAAUGUGAAUGUCAGAGAAUUAAAUUGUUCAGUGUACACACUAUUUAAAAUACAUUACUUUAAUGAACAAUUCUGAUGUUUCGAGGGAACAUUCUCAUUUUUUCGCUCUCCUGAGCAUAUCUAUCAUGUAACUUAGAUGCAGAAUUAAUAUGUAUUUUUCUUCAGUAAAACACACAAUGUCAAGACAUUUAUAUUAGUAAACUGUGUUCUAUAUUCAUCUGAGUAAGGCACAUUUGAUUAUUAGCAUUCUGCUCCUGAGAAACAAGGCAGGUUUGCUUGUCUGUUGCCAUGGAAAUAAAUUAGGAAGGAUAACCUGCCUACUUAUCAAUUUUUAUUAAUGCAAUCAGCCUACCUGCUUAACCCAUAAGUAACAAUAGCACAUUUAAACUAAGCCAAUAAAGCCCUGUAACUCUAGGGGUGCCAGUUAAAGUAAAUAGGAUAGAAAAUUGCUGAAAUAAAAAGUCUGAGUUAUGUGUCAUAGUUAUGGGCCCCAUUAAUAUUACAGGAUAAAGAAUGUUGCCAUUGAGAGGGCUCUAAUGGUGGAAUUACCUUCAACUAACAUUUACUGAGAGGAGGAGAGGCAACUGAGACAAGAAGUCAAGAGAUUUAAAGUCAGCAGUUCUCAAGGAAAAUGCUACCCUGGAAAGAAAAUAUAACCUUAAAGUCUGGCAACUGCUCUGGACUUUUUCCUGAGAUUUUCUUUCAAGAAUAAUUAGCUUUCGAAUUCUUAGACAAGAUAUAUUCUGAAAUAUAUCCAAAUCGCCAGACUUUAAAAGGUCAUUAACAAAUCCAAUGAAUGAGGGCAUAGUAAUGCAUUUAGAGAUCAAAAAUGGAGCAAGAAUUCAAGUAUAUAUUCAGCUUUCUGAAACCCCCUCUGUCUGCUCUAUCAACAAUCACCAAAAGGAGACUGAACAGGAACUGCCUAUCCAAUUCCUACACUGAGCACAAAACAAGGAUAAUAGCAAAAGAAGAGCGAAAUAAAUCCAAAUCA